AGUGAAUGAGCAAUGUAUCAUGGGCGAUGUAGUUUUUCGCCACGCCCACUCCGCGAUGACUGCAUUGAAGUGGCUCUCUUCUGAAACUACAACUGAAAAAGAGCUAGCGAACCGAACUCUGAAAAAAAAAACGAACUGAUACCAAACCAAUGUGUACUGUUUAACUGAAACAGACACGGCCAGUAUCAGUUUCAAACAAGGAAAUGUCAGUGUACCGAGUUUAGCAGCUAGCCCAGGUUCGGCCGCGAACCUUAACGGUAUUUCAAACUUGGCGGCCUCCGCCAACGUCCCACCAUUCCAGCUCGCCGUGUGAGUGGACGAUGAGGCCCGCCUGUUCCUUUUCCGGCUACACCUGCUUCUCCAGGAUCCUCCAGGAAGUGCAGCGCCAUAAAACCCUAAAGUAGUAAUCCCUCUUCCCCCCGGAGCGAGGAGAGCCGUUAGUUAGCAUGUCGCGAUCACGGGGGAGUCCGUUAGCGCCCGUGGUCUGAUGGAUCUGUCGUCGUAGUGUUCAUGCAGGGUGGAAGAAAAACCAAACAACAACAACAAACACCGUCAACUCCCUGCAAGUUGGCGUUAACGUUAUUGUUUUUCUCCCCUGGUGUAGCCGUUAGUUCUUUGCGGAUCUAAACCUCUCGCCUGCAAUGGGAUGCUGCGGCAGCGCGGAGGUAAGAGACCCGCGUCCUCCUCCACCACCCGCGACGGCCCGCCUGACGAGCUCUGCAAACAAAAAGAGGGCAAAACGAGAAUGGAAACCCCUGGAGGACCGAAGCUGUACGGAUUUGCCAUGGUUUCUGCUCUUCACGCUCUUCUGCGUGGGAAUGGGUGCUAUCUGUGGGUACACCAUAGUGACGGGAGGCGCAUCAAGGCUGGUGUUUGGAUAUGACAGCUACGGGAACACUUGUGGUCAGCGCAAUGAGGCCAUCGAAGGGGUCAAGCUGAGCGGCCUGGACCAUACGGACAGGAAAUAUGUGUUCUUCCUGGAUCCCUGCAACAUAGACAUUGUUCAGAGGAAGAUUAAGUCGAUGGCCCUCUGUGUGUCACAGUGUCCCACUGAGGAGAUGAAGUCGUAUGGGGACCUACGGCGCUUCGCCAUGAUUAACGGCUCUGAGCUCUGUUCCUAUGAGCUAGCUGGCCAUAAGUACCCGAGCCUUCCAGAGCGCUUUGAUAAGUGUCCCAAACUUCCAGUUCCACAGAGUAAAGCUCUGCCGGUGUUUAACCGUUGCACGCCUGUGGACAUCUCCUGCUAUUCUAAGUUUGCUGAGGCGGUGGUGACCUUUGUCAGUGAUAACACAGUGCUCCACAGACUGAUCGCUGGGGUGGUGGCCAGUAAAGAGAUCAUUGUUGGGCUCUGUCUGUUAGCGUUAGUGCUGUCCAUGAUUCUGAUGGUGAUCAUACGCUACAUCUCUGCUGUCCUGGUGUGGAUUCUCACAUUUAUCGUGGUGCUGGGCUCUCUAGGAGGCACCAGUGUUCUGUGGUGGUUAUAUAUAGACCACAGACUGACGAUGAACGAGACUGUGGCUAAAGAUUUAAAGGAAGUAAAAGAAACGAAUGGGGAAACAGAGGCUUCCAAAGACCACAUGCAAGCCCUCCUGGUCUAUGCCAUCUCAGCAACUGUGUUCACGGUGAUUCUGCUACUGCUGAUGUUGUUUAUGAGGAAGCGGGUGGCUCUGACUAUCGCUCUGUUCCACGUGGCUGGGAAGGUGUUUAUCCACCUGCCUCUGCUUGUACUGCAGCCUUUCUGCACCUUCCUUGCCCUGUUCCUCUUCUGGGUCUACUGGAUCUUGGUGCUCCUCUUCCUCGGAACCACUGGGAUUCCUGAGAAGAACGAGGAGACGGGACUGACGGAGUUCAGGCUGAGUGGUCCGCUGCAGUAUCUGACCUGGUACCAUGCUGUGGGUCUCAUCUGGAUCAGCGAAUUCAUCUUGGCAUGUCAGCAGAUGACUGUAGCUGGAGCUGUGGUCACAUACUACUUCACCAGGUCUCGGGACAAGAACAAACUCCCUCUGACUCCCAUCCUGUCAUCUGUGUUGCGUUUGAUGCGUUAUCACCUGGGCACUGUGGCCAAGGGCUCUUUCAUCAUCACCCUGGUCAAGAUCCCACGUCUCAUACUCAUGUACAUCUACAACCAGCUCAAAGGAAAGGAGAACGCGUGUGCGCGCUGUUUGCUGAAGGCUUGUAUUUGCUGCCUGUGGUGUUUGGAGAAGUGCCUCAAUUAUCUGAACCAGAAUGCAUAUGCAGCAACAGCGAUCAACAGCACCAGUUUCUGUACAUCGGCGCGGGAUGCCUUUGUGAUUCUUGUGGAAAAUGCUCUAAGGGUGGCAGCCAUCAACACCGUGGGAGACUUUGUGCUCUUUUUGGGCAAGGUCCUGAUUGUGACAUGCACAGCGUUUGCGGGGGUGCUGGCGCUGAACUAUCAGAGGGACUACACGGAAUGGGUGCUGCCGCUCAUUAUCGUGUGUCUGUUCGCCUUUCUGGUGGCCCACUGCUUCCUGUCCAUCUUCGAGAUCGUGGUUGAUGUUCUCUUCCUUUGCUUUGCCAUCGACACCAAAUAUAAUGACGGUACACCUGGCAAGGAGUUCUACAUGGACAAGGCCCUAAUGGAGUUUGUUGAGAACAGCAGGAAGUCAGUGGCCCCGGCAGAACGGGGGCGGAGCAAGCGGUCCCGUGCCCGCGAGGAGGCGGAGCUGACGGAGAUGAAGGCCAUGGCUCCUGGAACAAGUUCAGCUUGACCAAAAGCAGCCCAUGGGACUUUUUAAAGACAUUCCAAAAUGUUUAUUUUUACCAAUGUGUAACAUGUUUACUAUGGUUUCACUCCAGGGAAUACAGUAUUUUAAUAAGAAACUGUAAAAAAAGAAAUAACAAUGUAAUGAAGCACUUUAUAUUGAAGCGCUGCAUAUUUUAAAAGGCUGAUGCAUUUUUCGUAGUGAUGUCCUUUUUAUAAGACUAAAAAAAACAAUUGCCAUCUAGUGAAACGCAGUAUUAAUAAUGUCUAGAAUCACUGUUUUUAUUAUGUAAGAUUUUCAUAACAAACUUUUUGUUCUUUUUCUUAAAUGGGUUUCUUGACGUUUAUUAGAAACCUUUGUGUCAUGCAGCAAUGAAGAACUUGAUUGAGUUUUUUAUGUCCUAACACUGAAGCAUCUGCACAUUUUUUGCUCCUGUUGAUGUUUUAUUACUCUCAGUCUACUAUGGAACUGUGGAAGUUAACCUGUGUUUGAGGUGGAGAUUAGAGGCUGAGGUCUGGGCUUCAGUGCCUCAGUGUUAAGACUUGGUUGAUUCCUGACCCAAGUUGGUGAUUUUGGAUCUUCAUUUUAAGUGAAACGGAGUCUGAUUUUCCAGCUUUGUUGUUCCUACACAUUGAAGAGGAUUGUGCUAUUCUCUUUUUUUUCAAUUGAAGAAGGUAAUGAUUUAAAGCAUCUAAAGGAAGGCUGUUCUUUGAUUGUUUCUGGCCAGUGAAUGAUGUUCUGUUAGAAGUGUGACCGGGCCUGCUGGUUCUUUCAAGUCUAGUUUGUGCACAGUUUAAUACUGGUAAAAGUAUGUGUCUCUGAGCAGAUGUGUUGAUGUUUACUAGAAUAUUAAAAGCAAAUUCUGAACUAGGGCUGAACAGUAUUGGGUGAAAGUCACAUUACAGAAUCUGAUAUUACAGUGAAACAAAAAGUAUUCAAAAAUGUACACAGAUAAACAAUCUUCAAAUGGAACUAAUUAUGAGUCUAGCAAGGAAAAUUGUGUUAGAGGGAGUAUUAGGGCAAUAGUAGCAUGAUACUGACAAUGCACCAUGCAAUUGCGAUAUACCUUCUAAAAUACUGAAAUUUGUGAACCCUUGAUUUAACAUAUUUAUGAACUGAACAGCAUAUUAUUCCCAAUUUAUUUCUGUUUGUUGGGUCAUGUGAAUGCCUUUAUUCAGACACCCAAAGAACAUCUGUGAUUGGUCAGGAUGUUUUUUUUUUUUUUAUUAAACAAAAACUCUAUUCAGUAGUAAUAGUAACAAAAUAACACUUUUUCUUUUGAUCAGUGCAGAUCAGUGUGACACGGACACUGGGUAACAGCCCAUUCUGCUAAAAUAAAAAUCCACAUUAACCCACAUUGAAGCGCUAUAUGUGUGUUUGUGAUGGAGUUUAAAAGGGUCAAACAGUAAGCAGCAAUCAAACUUGAGCUCUGAUAUAAAAGAUGUUUUUAAUGAUAGUUUUCAAAACCGGAUGUGCAUUUAUUUGUUUAUUUGUUUUGGAUUAAUUUAUCUAUAUGUAUUGUCACAAAUUAGGCUUGUUGUGAAAAGGCCUUAAAGCUUGGUCGCCUCUUCUGGCAAAAAUCUAAUCUAUUCUGACAAAUCAUGAAAUUGGUGAUAUUUACUGAUCAUUUUAUACAAAUUUAUUGAUUUUUCCAAAUUAGUUGUUGACCUAGCCCUGAUAUUGUGCAGCCCUAUUCACAAUUGCUCAACAUUCAUACUAAGACGUUUGGUGCAUGUCACCCUUUUCAGAGAAAGUAAUUCUUAUGUUUUUUAUUCAGUUGAGCUGGAAAAACUUGCAGGCCUUUAGGCAUCGCAUAAAGCAUCACAUAAAGUUCUGGGCAUGUAUUCAUCCAGAAUUUAGAAGUGGAGUUGGAGUGCUAAUUUACAGCCCUGUUCCCUGCAUGUUUAUAGUGACCUAAGUUAUAAAACCAGAUUAGCACUCCUGCUCCUCAUGAAUACUAGCGCAGGAUCUGAUUUCUUGAUUGUGUCGAAGCAUGAUUGUUUUCGAUUUUUCUUUACAAAAAUGCUUAAAACAACAGUGCUUAUAAGGACAUCAGGCCCUGGCCUCUCCUCAAAUGCAGUGUAUUUUCUUUUAGCUAGGGCUAUUUCUGUAGUUCCUCCUUCAGACUGUAGGGGGAGACCGCUUGGCUAACAUUUUUGAUCAAAUAUUUCUGCAUGUGCAGCCCUUUUUUCUUGGCACGUCCAAAUAGUACUAGCCAAAUAGUACUGAGCGUGUUACUGCUCAGUUAAAAUUUCACUUUCUCACACUGCAUCCUGUGGAGAGUUCAGCAGCUUUUAAGUCACUGUGUGGUGUGUGAGCGUCCAAUUUUACACCUGCAGCAAACUCGAGUCUUCCUACUUGCACUACAUUUCUCAAGAGAAGGUUUUUUUUUGUUUGUUUGUUUGUGAGGCAUCCCUUUGAUCCUGAGUGAUGGGGAGAGGAGAGGCACACAAAACGUCGCAUCUUGCCUUAACCCAUCCAGUGGGCAGCACCCCCUACUGGAUUAAAUUGGAGCGUUCCACAAAAGAGAAUGUGGCGGGAAAGUUGGCCAAUAGUUAGCCAUGUACCUACAGAUCUGAAGAGGAAAAACAAGCAAGUGUGCAAGAUUACUGGAUAGAAGGACAUUCCUUAUAUCAUAAAGGUAUUGAAUAUAAAUGAGUUUCAUUUAAAAGUCCUGUAUAUCCGUUUGUAAUCAUUUUGGAUAUAAUGAGUUUCUGAAAAGAACAGCUGACGUAUAAUGGAAGACACUUUAUUUUAUUUCUUGAAAGUGGUCUGCGCUGCGGUUUGGAACGAAAUCCUUCAAACAUACAAUAAACAGACAAUUUGUCCAUUUGCCUCAUUAGAGGCCCAAAUCUUUUCACUAGUUUCACCAUUCAUUUCAGCUACACAGUCAAACUGACUAAUUCACUACUAGCUCAUUUUUCUCAAGCAAGCUUGGGCAGUGUUGGCCAAAAUUUCUGACAAAACAGCUUUUGCAUGGAAUUUUUUGUGUUCUUUAAAAAAAUUAGUUGGAACGAAAUGAGGUGAAUAUGAUGUUGUGAGGUAUGCAGUUUUUUAUGUACAGUAUAUGUGAACAUGUUACGAUACAUGUUUGACAGAUUAUAACAAUGUUGAAGAUUGUCAUUCUUUGACAAGGGACCUGAAAGUGUCUCGUGUUUAUCUGUUUGUUUCUUGUCGUCUCACGUUAAGAGGCUGGAAAGCGUGACUUUUUGGGUUAGCUUGAAGAUAAAUAAAACUAUAAAACUUGGGCAUAGUCCAGAAAUAUACACAGUUGUAGCUAUAAGAGCAUGAAAUUGAGGAAAAAAAAUAUUUAACAUUCGCCACACUAGUCUUAUGCUCAAAGCAUGUUAAGAAUUGCACUAAGAUGGUAUUGAUUUCAACACGGAGAUAAAAGAAAGAUACUGUAAUAAAAAAUAUAUAUAUAUUUAAAAUGGUCUUAUAGUAGCCAUUGGAAGUGUUAGAUGAAGGACUCCCUCAGUUGAGUAAUUGGUCCUUAAAUGUUUGAGAAAUGCAGUAAACUAAAUACAAAAGCAGUCUUUCGGAAAGAACUUUUUGGGUGAGACAAAUGCUGUUAGUAGUUUCCUUAUGCAGAAUUUAGUGUCUUGAUUACUGAUUCUGCUCCAGUUGUGGAGGAUCUGGGUCAGAAACGCUGGUCCUGGAUCAGUGUAAAAGAGCAGCUUAGGCAGUGCUGAGUAAUGGCAGUGACCGGCUCUCCACUCCAGAACACCCCUUCUCUUUUUUUUUUUUUUGCCAAAUGCGUGCACAAUGGGAAAUUCAGACAAAGUGCACAAAGCAGUAUUGUGCUAACUGGCUGAAAACCAGUUUGUUUUUGUUUUGGUAUUCGGUAUGAACCUUGUUUUCCUUUUUUCCUCCCUCUCUCUCUCUCCUCUUUCUCUGUCAAUCAGCCUGGCAGCUGAGCAGCUGCUGUGUGGCAGGGCCUGGCCUGUCACUGUCCAUUAGAGAGACGUAGAAAAGCUCUGCUUAGAGCAGGAGCCGAACUAGCAGCCCAUAGUCACCACACACGCACACACACAUACACAUACACAUAAACACAGACAUAUGACCUGCAUGCUCCCAGUCCGGGCUUUUUCUAACUCUUUAAAACAAAAGAGCCAUUUUUGUAGGACGUGAAUUGUUCGCCAUUAGAAUCCAUGUGACUUAAACACUGACUUUAACUUCUAGAACAAUAGCUUUAUUCAGCGACAAGCCACUGUUUUUUAUUUUUAUUUCUUUUUCCCGAGAUGUGAGUCGAUCUCCUCUUCAUUACUGGAAACUGUGCUUCUAUUCUCAUCACUUCUGGGGAAUAGGCCAUUUCUGUCUAAAGAUACUGUUAUGAAUAGGCAAUACAUCAGUUUACUCGUCUGGUGUAACACUAGCUCUUAGCUUUUACCUGCAGUAAAGUUGUUUGUAACAAUGAACUAAGUUUUUGUUUUGUUCUGUUUUUUAUAUUUAUGAUUUCAUAUGUAUCUUGUUUUUUAAAG